rnacentral:rRNA from 1 species
CAAUCGAACCCGGAGCUAGCUGGUUCUCCCCGAAAUGUGUUUAGGCGCAGCGGUUGUGAUUAUAGUCUGGGGGUAAAGCACUGUUUCGGUGCGGGCGGCGAAAGCUGUACCAAAUCGAGACAAACUCAGAAUACCAGAUGCACACACAACCAGACAGACGGUGGGGGAUAAGCUUCAUCGUCAAGAGGGAAACAGCCCAGACCACCAGCUAAGGUCCCCAAAUUGUCACUAAGUGAUAAAGGAGGUGGGAGUGCAAAGACAACCAGGAGGUUUGCCUAGAAGCAGCCAUCCUUAAAAGAGUGCGUAAUAGCUCACUGG